GAUGAACGCUGGCGGCGUGCCUAAUACAUGCAAGUCGAGCGAACGGACGAGAAGCUUGCUUCUCUGAUGUUAGCGGCGGACGGGUGAGUAACACGUGGAUAACCUACCUAUAAGACUGGGAUAACUUCGGGAAACCGGAGCUAAUACCGGAUGAUAUUUUGAACCGCAUGGUUCAAAAGUGAAAGACGGUCUUGCUGUCACUUAUAGAUGGAUCCGCGCUGCAUUAGCUAGUUGGUAAGGUAACGGCUUACCAAGGCAACGAUGCAUAGCCGACCUGAGAGGGUGAUCGGCCACACUGAAACUGAGACACGGUCCAGACUCCUACGGGAGGCAGCAGUAGGGAAUCUUCCGCAAUGGGCGAAAGCCUGACGGAGCAACGCCGCGUGAGUGAUGAAGGUCUUCGGAUCGUAAAACUCUGUUAUUAGGGAAGAACAUAUGUGUAAGUAACUGUGCACAUCUUGACGGUACCUAAUCAGAAAGCCACGGCUAACUACGUG
rnacentral:rRNA from 1 species